UACAGAGGGUGCAAGCGUUAAUCGGAGUUACUGGGCGUAAAGGGCGCGUAGGUGGUUGUGCAAGUGAGACGUGAAAGCCCCGGGCUUAACCUGGGAACUGCGUCUUAAACUGCACGGCUAGAGUACUGUAGAGGGUAGUGGAAUUUCCGGUGUAGCGGUGAAAUGCGUAGAGAUCGGAAGGAACACCAGUGGCGAAGGCGGCUACCUGGACAGAUACUGACACUGAGGCGCGAAAGCGUGGGGAGCAAACAGG
rnacentral:rRNA from 1 species